GACGAACGCUGGCGGCGUGCCUAAUACAUGCAAGUCGAGCGGACUUGACAGAGCUUGCUCUGUUCAAGUUAGCGGCGGACGGGUGAGUAACACGUGGGCAACCUGCCCUGCAGAUUGGGAUAACUCCGGGAAACCGGGGCUAAUACCGAAUAACAUUGAAAACCUCAUGGUUUUCUUUUAAAAGGCGGCUUCGGCUGUCACUGCAGGAUGGGCCUGCGGCGCAUUAGCUAGUUGGUGAGGUAACGGCUCACCAAGGCAACGAUGCGUAGCCGACCUGAGAGGGUGAUCGGCCACACUGGGACUGAGACACGGCCCAGACUCCUACGGGAGGCAGCAGUAGGGAAUCUUCCGCAAUGGACGAAAGUCUGACGGAGCAACGCCGCGUGAGUGAAGAAGGUUUUCGGAUCGUAAAACUCUGUUGUUAGGGAAGAACAAGUAUCGGAGUAACUGCCGGUACCUUGACGGUACCUGACCAGAAAGCCACGGCUAACUACGUGCCAGCAGCCGCGGUAAAAC
rnacentral:rRNA from 1 species